rnacentral:rRNA from 1 species
CAGUCGCCACGGUAAUACAGAGGGUGCAAGCGUUAAUCGGAUUUACUGGGCGUAAAGGGCGCGUAGGUGGUUAUUUAAGUGAGAUGUGAAAUCCCCGGGCUUAACCUGGGAACUGCAUCUUAUACUGGGUAACUGGAGUGCAGUAGAGGGUAGUGGAAUUUCCGGUGUAGCGGUGAAAUGCGUAGAUAUCGGGAGGAACAUCAGUGGCGAAGGCGGCCAUCUGGGACAACACUGACGCUGAGGCACGAAAGCGUGGGGAGCAAACAGGAUUAGAUACCCCAGUAGUCCCUGUCUCUUAUAC